UGUGAUCAUGACCGCAGUUGUGGACGUGGAUUGUUCUGUGAUCGUCACUUUGGUCUGUGUGUAGCACUGCGCCACGAAGGCCAGUACUGCCGAAAGGAUUCCCAGUGUGUCAGGGGCUUGGGUUGUAUGUUUGGCCGGUGCCAACGAAUUAUACCUGGUGGACAUGAAGGGUCCAGGUGCCGCCAGGAUAAGGAUUGCCCCCUGUCUAUGUGCUGUGCCAGGCACCACGGAGAAAUGAUCUGUAAACGCAAACUACCUGCUGGGGGCAGCUGUUAUGUUCCAGAAGGAGGCUUGGCAUUCAGCAUCAACCAGCUAUGCCCAUGUGAAGAGGGAUUGGUCUGCAGUUCCACACCUCCGUCUCGAGAGAAGGAAUUUGUUUACAGUCCCGGCUUAGACUGGAAGUGUGUUGCCCCCUCCCCAUGAUGCCCCUGCUGCGUCCCUCUGUAAAUAUCCUGUACAUACAAAUUAUAUAAA